rnacentral:rRNA from 1 species
ACGGGUGAGUAACACGUGGGUAACCUACCUUAUAGAUUGGGACAACUCCGUGAAACCGGGGCUAAUACCGAAUAAUACUUUUUAACACAUGUUUGAAAGUUGAAAGACGGUUUCGGCUGUCACUAUAACAUGGACCCGCGGCGCAUUAGCUAGUUGGUGAGGUAACGGCUCACCAAGGCAACGAUGCGUAGCCGACCUGAGAGGGUGAUCGGCCACACUGGGACUGAGACACGGCCCAGACUCCUACGGGAGGCAGCAGUAGGGAAUCUUCCACAAUGGACGAAAGUCUGAUGGACCAACGCCGCGUGAGUGAAAAAGGAUUUCGGUUCGUAAAACUCUGUUGCAAGGGAAGAACAAGUAGCGUAGUAACUGGCGCUACCUUGACGGUACCUUGUUAGAAAGCCACGGCUAACUACGUGCCAGCAGCCGCGGUAAUACGUAGGUGGCAAGCGUUGUCCGGAAUUAUUGGGCGUAAAGCGCGCGCAGGUGGUUCCUUAAGUCUGAUGUGAAAGCCCCCGGCUCAACCGGGGAGGGUCAUUGAAAACUGGGGAACUUGAGUGCAGAAGAGGAU